GCAGUCGAACGGUGAAGCCCAGCUUGCUGGGUGGAUCAGUGGCGAACGGGUGAGUAACACGUGAGUAACCUGCCCCUGACUCUGGGAUAAGCCUUGGAAACGAGGUCUAAUACCGGAUAUGUGACGUUCAGGCAUCUGAUGCGUCUGGAAAGAUUUAUCGGUCAGGGAUGGGCUCGCGGCCUAUCAGCUUGUUGGUGGGGUGAUGGCCUACCAAGGCGACGACGGGUAGCCGGCCUGAGAGGGCGACCGGCCACACUGGGACUGAGACACGGCCCAGACUCCUACGGGAGGCAGCAGUGGGGAAUAUUGCACAAUGGGCGCAAGCCUGAUGCAGCGACGCCGCGUGAGGGAUGAAGGCCUUCGGGUUGUAAACCUCUUUCAGCAGGGAAGAAGCGCAAGUGACGGUACCUGCAGAAGAAGCGCCGGCUAACUACGUGCCAGCAGCCGCGGUAAUACGUAGGGCGCAAGCGUUGUCCGGAAUUAUUGGGCGUAAAGAGCUCGUAGGCGGUUUGUCGCGUCUGCUGUGAAAACUCGAGGCUCAACCUCGGGCUUGCAGUGGGUACGGGCAGACUAGAGUGCGGUAGGGGAGACUGGAAUUCCUGGUGUAGCGGUGGAAUGCGCAGAUAUCAGGAGGAACACCGAU
rnacentral:rRNA from 1 species